CUUGCUUCUCUUGAGAGCGGCGGACGGGUGAGUAAUGCCUAGGAAUCUGCCUGGUAGUGGGGGAUAACGUUCGGAAACGGACGCUAAUACCGCAUACGUCCUACGGGAGAAAGCAGGGGACCUUCGGGCCUUGCGCUAUCAGAUGAGCCUAGGUCGGAUUAGCUAGUUGGUGGGGUAAUGGCUCACCAAGGCUACGAUCCGUAACUGGUCUGAGAGGAUGAUCAGUCACACUGGAACUGAGACACGGUCCAGACUCCUACGGGAGGCAGCAGUGGGGAAUAUUGGACAAUGGGCGAAAGCCUGAUCCAGCCAUGCCGCGUGUGUGAAGAAGGUCUUCGGAUUGUAAAGCACUUUAAGUUGGGAGGAAGGGUUGUAGAUUAAUACUCUGCAAUUUUGACGUUACCGACAGAAUAAGCACCGGCUAACUCUAUGCCAGCAGCCGCGGUAAUACAGAGGGUGCAAGCGUUAAUCGGAAUUACUGGGCGUAAAGCGCGCGUAGGUGGUUUGUUAAGUUGGAUGUGAAAUCCCCGGGCUCAACCUGGGAACUGCAUUCAAAACUGACUGACUAGAGUAUGGUAGAGGGUGGUGGAAUUUCCUGUGUAGCGGUGAAAUGCGUAGAUAUAGGAAGGAACACCAGUGGCGAA
rnacentral:rRNA from 1 species